rnacentral:rRNA from 1 species
GUCUGUCACCAAACCAUCUUGAAUGAAUCCAGUCUCAUCUGGUCUUGAAAACUAAGCAGGUCUGGCCUGGUUAGUAUUUGCACUGGAGACCACCUAGGAACACAGGGUGCUGUAGGCU